rfam:Micromonospora nigra strain DSM 43818 genome assembly, contig: Ga0070616_13
ACCGGUCUCCGGUAGUGGCCCCCGGGCAUUCGGCAUCCGCCGGUCGCCCGGGCGCUUCGAUCGAAGACCGGC